AUUGAACGCUGGCGGUAGGCCUAACACAUGCAAGUCGAACGGCAGCACAGUAAGAGCUUGCUCUUACGGGUGGCGAGUGGCGGACGGGUGAGGAAUACAUCGGAAUCUACUUUUUCGUGGGGGAUAACGUAGGGAAACUUACGCUACUACCGCAUACGACCUACGGGUGAAAGCAGGGGAUCUUCGGACCUUGCGCGAUUGAAUGAGCCGAUGUCGGAUUAGCUAGUUGGCGGGGUAAAGGCCCACCAAGGCGACGAUCCGUAGCUGGUCUGAGAGGAUGAUCAGCCACACUGGAACUGAGACACGGUCCAGACUCCUACGGGAGGCAGCAGUGGGGAAUAUUGGACAAUGGGCGCAAGCCUGAUCCAGCCAUACCGCGUGGGUGAAGAAGGCCUUCGGGUUGUAAAGCCCUUUUGUUGGGAAAGAAAAGCAGCAGGUUAAUACCCCGCUGUUCUGACGGUACCCAAAGAAUAAGCACCGGCUAACUUCGUG
rnacentral:rRNA from 1 species